rnacentral:rRNA from 1 species
UGUUAGUGGAAGCGUCUGGAAAGACGCGCGAUACAGGGUGACAGCCCCGUACACAAAAGCGCAUGUGUUGUGAGCUCGAUGAGUAGGGCGGGACACGUGGUAUCCUGUCUGAAUAUGGGGGGACCAUCCUCCAAGGCUAAAUACUCCUGACUGACCGAUAGUGAACCAGUACCGUGAGGGAAAGGCGAAAAGAACCCCGGCGAGGGGAGUGAAAAAGAACCUGAAACCGUGUACGUACAAGCAGUGGGAGCACAGGUUUACCUGUGUGACUGCGUACCUUUUGUAUAAUGGGUCAGCGACUUAUAUUCUGUAGCAAGGUUAACCGAAUAGGGGAGCCGGAGGGAAACCGAGUCUUAAUUGGGCGUUAAGUUGCAGGGUAUAGACCCGAAACCCGGUGAUCUAGCCAUGGGCAGGUUGAAGGUUGGGUAACACUAACUGGAGGACCGAACCGACUAAUGUUGAAAAAUUAGCGGAUGACCUGUGGCUGGGGGUGAAAGGCCAAUCAAACCGGGAGAUAGCUGGUUCUCCCCGAAAGCUAUUUAGGUAGCGCCUCGUGAACUCAUCUCCGGGGGUAGAGCACUGUUUCGGCUAGGGGGCCAUCCCGGCUUACCAACCCGAUGCAAACUGCGAAUACCGGAGAAUGUUAUCACGGGAGACACACGGCGGGUGCUAACGUCCGUCGUGAAGAGGGAAACAACCCAGACCGCCAGCUAAGGUCCCAAAGUCAUGGUUAAGUGGGAAACGAUGUGGGAAGGCCCAGACAGCCAGGAUGUUGGCUUAGAAGCAGCCAUCAUUUAAAGAAAGCGUAAUAGCUCACUGGUCGAGUCGGCCUGCGCGGAAGAUGUAACGGGGCUAAAUCAUGCACCGAAGCUGCGGCAGCGACACUCAGGUGUUGUUGGGUAGGGGAGCGUUCUGUAAGCCUGUGAAGGUGUGUCGUGAGGCAUGCUGGAGGUAUCAGAAGUGCGAAUGCUGACAUAAGUAACGAUAAAGCGGGUGAAAAGCCCGCUCGCCGGAAGACCAAGGGUUCCUGUCCAACGUUAAUCGGGGCAGGGUGAGUCGACCCCUAAGGCGAGGCCGAAAGGCGUAGUCGAUG